rnacentral:rRNA from 1 species
UUGUUGCGGUUAAAAAGCUCGUAGUUGGAUUUCUGUCGAAGACUUCUGGUCCAUACCAUGUAUGUGUAUCUAGAAAUGCUUUGGCAUCCUCUCGGUGCCCGUCGCCGCCUUAAUUGCGUGGUACGGUGCCCGAGACUUUUACUUUGAGGAAAUUAGAGUGUUCACGGCAGGCAAUCGUCAUGAAUAUAUUAGCAUGGAAUAAUCAUAUAGGACCUAGGGUUCUUUUUGUUGGUUUCAGAAUUUUAGGUAAUGAUUAAUAGGGACAAUUGGGGGCAUUCGUAUUGUCACGUCAGAGGUGAAAUUCUUAGAUUGUGAUACGACGAACUAAUGCGAAAGCAUUUGCCAAGGAUGUUUUCAUUGAUCAAGAACGAAAGUUAGGGGAUCGAAGACGAUCAGAUACCGUCGUAGUCUUUACCAUAAACUAUGCCGAUUAGGGAUUGGAGGUCGUUCUUUUCAUGACUCCUUCAGCACCUUAUGAGAAAUCAAAAUUUUUGGGUUCCGGGGGGAGUAUUGUCGCAAGGCCGAAACUU